AACGACUCUCGGCAACGGAUAUCUCGGCUCUCGCAUCGAUGAAGAACGUAGCGAAAUGCGAUACUUGGUGUGAAUUGCAGAAUCCCGUGAACCAUCGAGUCUUUGAACGCAAGUUGCGCCCGAAGCCUGAUUCAGGUUGAGGGCACGUC
rnacentral:rRNA from 3 species